UACGGAGGGUGCGAGCGUUGUUCGGAAUCAUUGGGCGUAAAGAGCGUGUAGGCGGCUGGGUAAGUCUGAUGUGAAAGCCCGGGGCUCAACCCUGGAAGUGCAUUGGAGACUGCUCGGCUUGAGUACUGGAGAGGAUGGGGGAAUUCCCGGUGUAGAGGUGAAAUUCGUAGAGAUCGGGAGGAAUACCAGUGGCGAAGGCGCCCAUCUGGACGGAUACUGACGCUGAGACGCGAAAGCGUGGGGAGCAAACAGG
rnacentral:rRNA from 1 species